rnacentral:rRNA from 1 species
UACGGGGGGGGCAAGCGUUGUUCGGAAUUACUGGGCGUAAAGGGCCAGUAGGCGGCCAACUAAGUCGGAUGUGAAAUCCCCAGGCUCAACCUGGGAACUGCAUCCGAUACUGGAUGGCUUGAAUUCGGGAGAGGGAUGCAGAAUUCCAGGUGUAGCGGUGAAAUGCGUAGAUAUCUGGAGGAAUACCGGUGGCGAAGGCGGCAUCCUGGACCGGCAUUGACGCUGAGGAGCGAAAGCUAGGGGAGCAAACGGG